rnacentral:rRNA from 1 species
GAUGAACGCUGGCGGCGUGCUUAACACAUGCAAGUCGAACGGAACUUAAAUGAAACCUAGUGAUUUUAAGUUUAGUGGCGGACGGGUGAGUAACGCGUGGGUAACCUGCCUUAUACCGGGGGACAACAGUUAGAAAUGACUGCUAAUACCGCAUAAGCGCACGGAGUCGCAUGACUUUGUGUGAAAAACUCCGGUGGUAUAAGAUGGACCCGCGUCUGAUUAGCCAGUUGGUGAGGUAACGGCCCACCAAAGCAACGAUCAGUAGCCGGCCUGAGAGGGUGAACGGCCACAUUGGGACUGAGACACGGCCCAAACUCCUACGGGAGGCAGCAGUGGGGAAUAUUGGACAAUGGGGGAAACCCUGAUCCAGCGACGCCGCGUGAGUGAAGAAGUAUUUCGGUAUUAAAGCUCUAUCAGCAAGGAAGAUAAUGACGGUACUUGACUAAGAAGCCCCGGCUAACUACGUGCCAGCAGCCGCGGUAAUACGUAGGGGGCAAGCGUUAUCCGGAUUUACUGGGUGUAAAGGGAGCGUAGACGGUUUGGCAAGUCUGAUGUGAAAGCCCGGGGCUCAACCGCGGGACUGCAUUGGAAACUGUCAGACUUGAGUGCAGGAGAGGUAAGUGGAAUUCCUAGUGUAGCGGUGAAAUGCGUAGAUAUUAGGAGGAACACCGGUGGCGAAGGCGGCUUACUGGACUGUAACUGACGUUGAGGCUCGAAAGCGUGGGGAGCAAACAGGAUUAGAUA